CAAUCCUGAUUAAGACUCCUAGAAUUUGGCACGCAUUUUGUGAGAAGCUCACUGGCCAGUCUCCUCUUCCUCUUUACUAUUUGACAGUAGUGUUAAUUUGUUGACAAAUCAAUUUGUUCAUUAAAAUUCAGAAGGCUUGUUAGAUUUGCAAGCUCAAUAAAGUGUAACACACAGAUUAAUGAUUAAGAUGACAAUCUUAUUUCUUUUGUCUAGGACAAGAUUAGAUCUCUGGGUCUCAUUUACUUGGAUCUUAUUUUCAAUAGGGUUCGUUUUUAUUGUGAACAGCAAGUUAGUAAGAGGGAGACCUGUAGCUGUGUCUUUCUUAGGGAAGGCCUAAAGCUUUGGAUUGAGAGUUUAGGAACAUGGUUAUAUUUAACAUUACAUGCGGGUAGAGAUGAAGAAACUGAAGUGAAUUCCUUGAGACCUCAGACUUUAUUCUGUUUAAGGAAAGGCAGCUGUCUGUGCGACUUAACUGGCUGAGGAGGCUAAGAUUCAAGCCAAAUGGGAAAGAGGCUUCUUGGUUACCUAAGAGCAGGUGGAGUCAAUGUCCUUAAAACUUGGAGGAUGAUCUACAGCAGAAAGUCACCACACCCAGUCCUGCUUCAACAAGAGACCUUUUGGUAUGGAAGUUGGGGAGGGGGCUGAUUCUAUUCCAGCUAAAAGCUGUAUCCUUUUCAUAAUACAGCUAAAUAAACUUCCUUUUGUUAACUGUUG